UGAGUGCGAGCUGCUACGGCAGCGAAGUUGGUGAUGUCAUGCUUCCAAGAAAAGCCCUAUACCCGUUAAGGCAUCAUGGCCUGUACCCGAAACCGACACAGGUGGGGUGGUAGAGAAUACCGAGGGGCGCGAGGUAACUCUCUCUAAGGAACUCGGCAAAAUGGCCCCGUAACUUCGGGAGAAGGGGUGCCACCGCAAGGUGGUCGCAGUGAAGAGGCCCAGGCGACUGUUUACCGAAAACACAGGUCUCCGCUAAGUCGCAAGACGAUGUAUGGGGGCUGACGCCUGCCCAGUGCCGGAAGGUUAAGGAAGCUGGUCAGCGCAAGCGAAGCUAGCGACUGAAGCCCCGGUGAACGGCGGCCGUAACUAUAACGGUCCUAAGGUAGCGAAAUUCCUUGUCGGGUAAGUUCCGACCCGCACGAAAGGCGUAACGAUCUGGGCGCUGUCUCGGAGAGAGGCUCGGCGAAAUAGAAUUGUCUGUGAAGAUGCGGACUACGUGCACCCGGACAGAAAGACCCUAUGAAGCUUUACUGUAGCUUGGUAUUGUGCCCGGGCUCGCAAUGCACAGGAUAGGUGGGAGGCUUUGAUCAUCGGCUCGUGGGUCGAUGUGAGCCAACGGUGAGAUACCACUCUUUGCGAGCUAGGGUUCUAACGGCCACCCGUCAUCCGGGGGCCGGACAGUACCUGGUGGCAGUUUGACUGGGCGGUCGCCUACUAAAAGGUAACGGAGGCGCGCAAAGGUUUGCUCAGGCUGGUUGGAAAUCAGCCGACGAGUGUAAAAGCAGAAGCAAGCUUGACUGUGAGACCAACAAGUCGAACAGGGAGGAAACUCGGCUUUAGUGAUCCGACGGUUCUGAGUGGAAGGGCCGUCGCUCAACGGAUAAAAGUUACUCUAAGGAUAACAGGCUGAUCUCCCCCAAGAGUUCACAUCGACGGGGAGGUUUGGCACCUCGAUGUCGGCUCAUCGCAACCUGGGGCUGAAGUCGGUCCCAAGGGUUGGGCUGUUCGCCCAUUAAAGCGGUACGCGAGCUGGGUUCAGAACGUCGUGAGACAGUUCGGUCCAUAUCCGGUGCACGCGCAGGAAUAUUGAGAGGAUUUCUCCCUAGUACGAGAGGACCGGGAGGAACGCACCUCUGGUGUACCAGUUAUCGUGCCAACGGUAAACGCUGGGUAGCCAUGUGCGGAGUGGAUAACCGCUGAAAGCAUCUAAGUGGGAAGCCCACCUCAAGAUGAGUAUUCCCAUGGCGUAAGCCAGUAAGGUCACGGGAAGAACACCCGUUGAUAGGCUCUAUGUGGAAGCGCAGUAAUGCGUGAAGCAGAGGAGUACUAAUAGACCGAGGGCUUGACC
rnacentral:rRNA from 1 species